rnacentral:sRNA from 1 species
GCAGGCGAGGCUCCCAUAGAACUGUUAUUACUCAGUGUGCCGGGUGGUCAGACACAGGAACUUAAGGCAUCAGGAAUAAGUGCACUGGGUGAGGGAACUCAUCAAUAUGGUGACCCGUGGGGAGCUGCGGGACACCAGGUUGACUAAAGAGGGGUGAACCGGCCCAGGUCGGAGACGGAGUAGGUCAAAGCUCCCGUGGUGGUCAGUAGUGGGACCGUGCCUGUGAACAGGCCCUGCAGUGUAACCUGG